rnacentral:rRNA from 1 species
GACGAACGCUGGCGGCGUGCUUAACACAUGCAAGUCGAACGGAAAGGCCCUGCUUUUGUGGGGUGCUCGAGUGGCGAACGGGUGAGUAACACGUGAGUAACCUGCCCUUGACUUUGGGAUAACUCCAGGAAACUGGGGCUAAUACCGGAUAGGAGCUCCUGCUGCAUGGUGGGGGUUGGAAAGUUUCGGCGGUUGGGGAUGGACUCGCGGCUUAUCAGCUUGUUGGUGGGGUAGUGGCUUACCAAGGCUUUGACGGGUAGCCGGCCUGAGAGGGUGACCGGCCACAUUGGGACUGAGAUACGGACCAGACUCCUACGGGAGGCAGCAGUGGGGAAUAUUGCACAAUGGGCGGAAGCCUGAUGCAGCAACGCCGCGUGCGGGAUGACGGCCUUCGGGUUGUAAACCGCUUUCGCCUGUGACGAAGCGUGAGUGACGGUAAUGGGUAAAGAAGCACCGGCUAACUACGUG